rnacentral:lncRNA from 1 species
UAUGUCAUCCAUCCUAUUUCAUGUUUCAUUACGACCUUGGUGUACUAUUCUCUAUCUUGUGCCGGGGAUCUAUCGGAAACAAUCUCUCUAUUUCUGUGGAGAUAGCAGUAUGAAUUGCGUACAUCUUACCUCCCCAGACCUCACUUUGUGGGAAUACACUGGACUGUUGUUGUUGUUGUAUAUUGUGUCUUUCCAGUAUUAUGAUAUUUUAAAUUUUAGAUAAAAAAUAAAAUUAAUAGAAAACAGUCAGCAAUAGUUGUCAGAAAUGGUGGUGGUUCGACGGAGGAGAACGAUGUGGAUAUGACAAAAUGAAAGAGCUGAAAAAGAAGACAAUGAAUGAAUCAUAAAUGAAAAGUAAAAAAUAAAUAAUAAAUAAGAAGAAAAAAAAGGCAAAAGAAAAA